GGAACGCUCCAAAUAGGCCUUCGAUUCUAGUGGCCCGAACUCGGCACCCAGCGCGAUCGAAAGCCUAGAAUUGAGAAGGGAACCCGAGGGGAGGCCGGCGUUGGUGCUCUCGGCUCCACCCAGCUCUGGACCGUGGCGUUCCGACGCACGCACCCUCGACUCCGACGUCAUACUGCCCCCCUGUCGGACGCAGACGUCUCUCUCCCUCGGAUCCGAUCCCGCCAUGCCCUAGGGGUUUCCAUCGGUCCACGACCUGCGCAACGCUGAAGGGGAAGAAGAUGCAGAGCGUUGAGGGGGAAAAGAUUGGUGUUCGUGGGCGACUCGCUGAACCGCAACAUGUGGGAAUCGCUGCUCUGCAUCCGGAGGCACCCUCUGAAGAGGAAGCACCGCGUUUUGGAGGUGUCCGGGAAGGAGGAGUUCAGAACCGACAAUUCGUAAGCUUUUCGAUUGGAAGCACGCAGCGCUACACCUCCUUCACGGAUAUCAUCCAUCUCCCCUUCUCUCUUUGUCAUCGGUGAAAAAACAGAGACACUCCUUCGCCAUUCGCAAGAGGUAACUUCUUCGUCGAUGAACCCCACAAUCAUCGUGAAAUUUCAUCAAGGAAGUAGAAAGAGCAUGAAGCUCUGCUGCGACGCUUCCUUAGAAUAAGUAAGUUGGAUCAUCCGGAGGCCACGCGGAUCAGGACUAGUUCUUCUUCGGAAGCCUAAGCAAUCUGUUAACACAACCACUUUCUGCUUAAAGCUCCAUAUCUCUGCCUGUUUGAUUAUAGAGCUUUUGCAAGCUCCGAGAGUGGUGUAACUUUGACAUGGCAAUGGAAGAUUCAGUUCGAAAAGUGAUGAAUGAGAAACUGGAGCAUGCGAUUCCUCAAAUUUUAAAUCAAACUGACAAUAUCAUGUGCCAGCAAGCAAACGGCACAGCAGGAUUGCUCACACUAGUCAGUUGCCAAGAUCUGUGCCUACCGAAGAUGUCCAGCCAGCAUCAGACUUGCAACUUGUCUUCACAAAGAGAAACUCUUACUUCCAAUCUUCAACAAAGAUGUGAUAAAAUACGAUGAUCAUAAUCAACUCCAAGUUUCCCUCAUGCAAAUCAAACAUGGUCAGAGUUCUGUAUUUUCGCUUCACUCACCUAUCAAAGUAGAAAUAGUGGUCCUUGAUGGAGAUUUCCCCAGAGAAAAUAGUCAGGACUGGAACACUGACGAGUUCAAAGCAGCAUAUCAGAAGAACGGAAGAGUAGGAGAUCAUUGCUUCUAGAAGAGAGCAAGGCCACAUUACAUCAAGGCAUAGCUUCCUUUGGAACACUUCAGGUCACUGAUAACUCGAGUUGGGUAAAGGCCAGGAAAUUUAGACUAGGAGUCUGUGUUUCUCCGGGCAGCUAUGCAGGACCAAGGAUUAAAGUAGCGAUAACAGAUAGUUUCCAGGUUUUAGAUCAUCGAAGCAAAUUGAAUCAGAAGUCGCAUCCCCCAUCUCUUGAUCACGAAGCAUGGAGGCUACUCAAUAUUAGCAGGAAUGGAGCAUUUCACAGGAGGCUGGAUGCUGCUGGAAUUAAGGCCGUGCAUGAUUUCUUGAAGCUUUCAAUUGUUGAUCGGCAACACCUCUGCAACGCCUCUGAGAUAUUAUAAAUAUGUCAGACAAGAAGUGGGAAGAAACAAUAAGACAUGCAAGGACCUGCAGAAUGGGAGAUAAAUUUCUCUCUCAAGUUGAACCCUAUUUGCGAAGUUUGUAAGGUCAAGCUUGUCUAUGAGGCAUACCAAAAUUGGAACUGGUUGGAGAGAGUUGUGGGGAUGCCUAAUACGAUUGGAGCACAAAAACAGAAUUCUAUGCAAGAAUGUGAACUAGAAUCCGAUGAACAUAGGUGCAGUGAUCCGCAGGCAAUGUGGCUCCACAGCUUGGAGCUUGAACAGCUUCCUUCACAGCAGAGCUGGUGCAGAAAACCAAAACUGAACUCUGUCGGAUUCCAAUGGAGGAACCAUGGAAGCGCAACAACAAAGUGAUCAUCUUGGCGACCAAGGUGGACUCGCGACAUGUUGCAGUCCCACCUUGCCACAGUGUGGCUCACCACACUUGUUUUAAGCACCGGAGAAUCCCCAGACAAAGUAGAUGUAAGAGAUCUUUGGCAAUAGAAAAAGCUCUGAUGAAUCAUUUCCAGCGUUGAAACGUUGUAUGUUCUCUUUGAGGCCUCUCAUCAUUCAAGGAGUCGAUGAAUCCAUUACAGUGACUGAGCGUAGCCAUCAACAUUUAUUGCUUUGGGUUUGUAGUCCAAUUAAACAAGCAUCGCAUGGGAUCUGUUCAAAGGUUAUAGCAUC